AACGAACGCUGGCGGCAUGCCUAACACAUGCAAGUCGAACGAGACCGUCGGGUCUAGUGGCGCACGGGUGCGUAACGCGUGGGAACCUGCCCUUAGGUUCGGGAUAACUCCCCGAAAGGGGUGUUAAUACCGGAUAAUGUCUUCGGGCCAAAGAUUUAUCGCCUUUGGAUGGGCCUGCGUUGGAUUAGGCGGUUGGUAGGGUAAAAGCCUACCAAGGCGACGAUGCAUAGCUGGUCUGAGAGGAUGAUCAGCCACACUGGGACUGAGACCCGGCCCAGACUCCUACGGGAGGCAGCAGUGGGGAAUAUUGGACAAGGGGCGAAAACCUGAUCCAGCAAUGCCGCGGGAGUGAUGAAGGCCUUAGGGUUGUAAAGCUCUUUUACCCGGGAUGAUAAUGACAGUACCGGGAGAAUAAGCUCCGGCUAACUCCGUG
rnacentral:rRNA from 1 species